GUCCAGGUGCUCCUGUGUGUCCUGGAGGCCCUAUUUCACUUUGACCUCCGGAGGAAAACAAUUACAGUGCAUGAAGUCUACAGUGAAUGCAAAUACAGAUGUACAGAAUAGAAAUACCAGCUGCAGAUGAUGAUGUUCUUUUUGUGAUUAGUCUAUCUCUAGUUGUCUGGUUCUCAUAUGUAACCUGGGUGGAGUUUUGUUGAAUCUGGCCCUCAUUCAUCCUUUCAAAGUACAGUGUUUGCUGGAAGUGUUUUGACAACUGAAGAAUGAACUACAUCAUUAACAGUUGAAGCCUGUUUUGAAGAAGGAGCAUCAUUUCUAGAUUGAUGGAUAGUGAAGGAAAUAUGAAAGCAGCAGAGGAAAUUUGUAACACAUUUGUCAACACUUCAUUAUAACAUUAACACUGGGCCUAAAAUGAUUUCCAUAAAAUGAAUGAGUGAAGUUAGCUUCAUAAAACUAAUAAAAUGCCUGCUCCUAAAGAAGAACAGGACACUUCUGCAACUAACAAGUUUUCACUAUCAGAUAAUCCUGGCAAUCCUCUGUGGCCUGGAAUUCCUGGAAGACCAUAACUGUUAUCACCUGGAACACCUUUCUGGCCUGCAAGUCCAGGAAUGCCAGGAAAACCUGGGGCACCGUCAGGAGAAGAACCCCUUUC